GACGAAGGAUGCAAGCGUUAUCCGGAUUCAUUGGGCUUAAAGGGAGCGUAGGUGGCCUUAUAAGUCAGUGGUGAAAUCUCUGGGCUUAACCCAGAAAUUGCCAUUGAUACUGUAGGGCUUGAGUAUAGAUGCCGUUGGCGGAAUAUGACAUGUAGUGGUGAAAUGCAUAGAGAUGUCAUAGAACACCGAUUGCGAAGGCAGCUAACGAAACUAUAACUGACACUGAGGCUCGAAAGUGUGGGGAUCAAACAGG
rnacentral:rRNA from 1 species